CCGGGCUCUCCAGCUCUCCACGCUGAUCUGCAGCCCCAUCCAGCUGAUCUUGCUGGGACCUGUGGGAAGUAAGGGCUUCUGACGUGUGGACGCUUGUACUCUGAUGCUCUGGAAAAAUACUUUUAAGUUGACCAUCCUAUCAGCUUCCCUUUGCGCUUAAAAUAUCCAGCAACCUUGCUGAAAGUAGCCUUUUUAAUCUGCUUCAAUGUCUCUUCCUUUUUCCUCAAGGAAAAAUGGACAAUACGGGUGAGGUGGACCUAAUGUAAUGCUGGAUGAUUAUAAAGGACCUAAACCUGUACAGUCACAGGCACACCAUUGACGCCACCACUCCCGGACAGAGGGACCAUUCGGUGGAAGUGUGGAGCGUGAACAAUUUCAGGAUUAGACAUCAAAACAUUUGCGAUGAUGCUUCUCAAUUGCCAAUUACAGCUGCUUGUACAACUCAGUUACCAAAAGCAUUGUGGUAUGCCUUGAUGAAUAAACACUUAUGACUAAUUGGAAAAUGUAUUUCUAGAGUACCAUGGUGCAGUCCUACAUAGCUCCUUUAUUACUGCGUCCUGGCAUCCUGCCCAUCAAGUGGAGCACACUUUCCUUUGAAUAGCGCUUAGAUGUGAUAGGCUGACUCUUUCUUCCCUCCACCCGCUUCAACAACGCAGCUGAUUAUUCAACCAUUUUCUCUACCCUUUGCUGCCUUCUGUGUGUUCUUUUUUUUUUUUUUUUUUUUGGUUUUUACCAUUCAAAAAAUCUGGCUGUUAGAAACUCCAAAAUUACUAAUUCUCUGAAAAUACGCCUUCAAACCUC
rnacentral:lncRNA from 1 species